GUAAACAUGGCGGUUUCUGAAGCUCAUUUUGUGUGGAUCAACCUUUUCCCUAAUCAUUUAAAAAGAUGGCCAAUGUUGUGUCUGUGGCAAAGAUGAGAAUCCUGUUACCAAACAAGAUAGGAUGGGGAAAGUGGGAAAGCUAAAGAAAAUAAUGGUUGCGUCCCUGCUCAACCACAUGAUGACUGUUACAAAAGAAAUGCUGAAUGACCUACUAGACAGAAAACAAGGACCAAGCUGAAAAUCAUAUGAGCAUCACCAUUCACAGGCGGGAUUCAGUGACUGUGGAGAAAGUGA